GCUACACAGAGAGGCUAAGAAGACUCUGGACAGAAUCUGGAGCUAGAGAAAAAUUUAAAAAGCCACAAGGAUGUGAAUUGCUGAGCCUGAGAUAGAAGAGGUAGGGAAAAAAAACAUAAGAACCUGCUUGUCUUCUGUUGAGUUAAAACGAACUAUUUUUUAAAAUAGUGUGAAAUAAAGGAAAUGAGAGACAUAUUAAGGAUAUGCUACAGUGAAUGUAGAGACAAGUGUAAGAGGGAUUUAGAAAGACAUAUUUAAUAUGUUUUUCUGAGUAGUUUUAAUGAGAACUCACUUUGAUAUUUAUAAGGAGAUAACAAACUUGAUGUAAAUUAACUUACAAUCAUUUUGGGUUGUCAUACUAAAGUUUCUUAAAAUGUGACUUGAUGUCAGAACUAGAGCAAAAAUCUGCUUAGUUUAAAGUAAUUUGUUUAAUUGUUUGGAAUUUCUCUUGGCAUUCUUAUUUCUCUCCCCAAAUACAGUGUAUGUUUCUGAAAAGCAAAGGUUCAGUGUUUCCCAUAGUAACUAUUCUCUGCCUUAGAUAUAUUAUUCACUUAGUAAUCCUUUGUUAUAAUAAGAUAUUGCAUUUUGAAUUUUUUCAUUACUGUUAUUAUUUUUAUAUCACUAUUAUUGACUAAUUCAUAAUGAACGCUAAUUAUGUGUCAAGGCCUGUGCUAACAUUCAGAAAUGCCUCACCUCAUUUAAUCAUCACAGUCUAGGCUCAUGAAGGGAUUAUUGCAAUAAUUCAUGUUAGAGAUGACCAGUUUAUGAGCUAGUCCAUUUGAAACAGGAAUACAAAAACAGGGCAGAUAAAAAAACAUACCUGGAGAGCAAAAUCAACAGAACUUGAGUGCAUAUUACACGUGGACACAGCAGAGAAAUAAAGUUGAAGAUGACUUAGAAGAAAAGGAAGCCUUGAGAGUUUAUGUCAAGUUACCAAGAGAGGUUGAGGAUUCUUCUUCAAGGCUCACCUGCUCACCUUAAGUAAGCUGCUGCUGUCUCAACGUAAGAUCAGUAAAAGGCUUCUUGAGGGUCUAUCGAGUUUUUAAAUGACUGAUGCUUCUAUAUAAAGAAGGUGACAAGAACUUCAUGGAACUUCUACCACAUGCCAUACCUUCCACAAUAUGAACUAUCUCAUUUAAUCUGCAAAAAGCCCAUUUUUCACAAAAGGCAAUGGAGGCUCCACAUUGCUGGCCAGAGUGGUAUUUUCUGUAGCUGUAAAUGUAUUUUCUGUAGCCAAAAUAAAAUAAAUGUCCAGUUAUAUAAGAAUAACUGUAUAAAUGACAAUAUAUCCAUCUAAUGGACCAUUACACAGCCAUUAAAAAUGGCAGCCUUGAAAGCAAUUUUAUGCCAUAUGAAAAUGUUCAUGAUAUAAUGUUAUAAUGAUUGAAAAAAAUUAGAGUGCCCAAUAAUACGCAUGAGAUUUCAGUUUUACAAGAAAUAUUCACUCUCAGCAGGAAGAAUGAAACUGAGCUCAAGUAAGGUGCUCCUGUCCUAGACUGUGCAUUCAUGCAUCAUGUGUUCCAAACAAGUAAAACUUACAGUAGUAUCUGCCCUUUUGAUAUUGCCCACUGAGACCUGCCAUGCUCAUGUGAAUCUUCUUUUUCUAGCUGAUAUUUCUGAAGUCAGAAUUUUGUCAGCUCCCAAAUCAUCUGCCAUACUCCUCCUGCCCCUGUGCUUUGCCCUGUCUGGAUUUGUUCUUGUUUUUGUCCUUGCCUCAUUGUAAACUAGUAGCCUGGCAUACAUCUAUGUAUUCAAUGGUUUUUACUUUCAUUUCUCAUAUGUCUAUAGAAGGUCUAUACUGGUGUUAUCCCAUGGGGAUAUGGAAGCCAUAAAUACACUGUACAUAUGUAAUGUGAAAUUUUUCAGAAUUCACACUAAGAUAUGUGGAUACUUUUUACAACAAAAACAGAAACAAGU
rnacentral:lncRNA from 10 species